rnacentral:rRNA from 1 species
UCAGGACGAACGCUGGCGGCGUGCCUAACACAUGCAAGUCGAGCGAUGAAACCCUUCGGGGUGGAUUAGCGGCGGACGGGUGAGUAACACGUGGGUAACCUGCCUCAGUAGAGGGGGAUAGCCUCCCGAAAGGGAGAUUAAUACCGCAUAAUGUAUUUUGUUCGCAUGAAUAAAAUAUCAAAGGAGUAAUCCACUAUGAGAUGGACCCGCGGCGCAUUAGCUAGUUGGUGAGGUAACGGCUCACCAAGGCGACGAUGCGUAGCCGACCUGAGAGGGUGAUCGGCCACAUUGGAACUGAGACACGGUCCAGACUCCUACGGGAGGCAGCAGUGGGGAAUAUUGCGCAAUGGGGGAAACCCUGACGCCAGCAACGCCGCGUGAAUGAUGAAGGCCUUAGGGUUGUAAAGUUCUGUCUUCUGGGACGAUAAUGACGGUACCAGAGGAGGAAGCCACGGCUAACUACGUGCCAGCCGCCGC